CAAAGACAAAAGCAUAGGGAGAGAGGAAAAAAGGGAAAAAGAGUGAGAAGUAUUAGCAUUGUUCAGGACAGAAGGAGAAAAUGCAUGGAA